AGAUUAGCGCGUGUCACUCUUGUUAUUAUAACAAAUCCAGUCAUAGUACACCGCUAAGCGUGCUCAUGUGCUUACGAUUGCUUGUAGCCGAAACAAUAGCAUGUGCUCCUUACUACAACAUCAUUGUUCAACGUGUCAUCGGCCGAUCAUCCGAAACUUCGCAUUCGCGUCCAGUUCGCGGCGUCUUCAACUCGUACGAAACAAUCGACGGAAGUGAUGCUGUAAUGGCAUACCGUUUAUUAGUGGUGUUGUUAAUAAUCUCUCUGCUAGAGGUAUCGUCGCCCUACAACAGGACGUUCUCAUUUCCCAUAUGGUGUAACUUCGGUUUAAGCCACUGCACGUAUUUUAACUUGAACAUAAAUUUCAAUGUCUUCUAACUUUUUGUGAUCAACAAAGCGGAUAUUACAAAAAAUCAGAAUUCUGGCGGCAAGAGGACCUUAGACGACGUCCACAGCCACCGGCACCACCAGGACAUGUACCAGGAGAUGAUGCGGGUCAUCCACGAGUCCAAGGAACUGCCUGAUGAGGAUGACACCCGGCUGAGACGGAUAGUUGGGGAAGAUAAUUUUAAAUUUUUCCAAGGAGGUGUGGGCCGUCGACGAGGCGGCGGGCAGCUGCGGUCUGCGGUGGGCCGCCGGCGGGCGCGGUCGCAGGCGUUGCGGCGGGAGAAACUCAACAGCCAGGGUCUGAGGAGUCAUAUGCUGCACACAAGGCAGGCUUAUGAUGACAGCCCCGAGGGACAUAAUUAAUUAUAGUUUUCAUGCAAUGUGAAGUUUUAUUUCUAAUGCGGGUCGCAGCACGUGAUAAAUGGCCUUUUUCAACCUAAGCGGAGAGGAGCUCUAAUCCGAUUCCACUGAUGCUGACUAUGUUGAGCAUAGACGAGAUGUAUGUAAUAUUCGUUGCUGCGAGUAUUUCUUACACACCCGAACCAAUAGAAAAAAGAAAGAUGAUGCUCUACAUUUUGGAAAGUAGGUAGUUGUAGUAUUUAAAGGAAGGAGUUUAGUGGAGGCAUAAGUGGAGGUUACGAGUAGAAACUUCAUAAAAUGAAAAAGGUUCCUAAUUUGGAUAUUCCAUUUAUUUUAUUCCUUAAAUAAUAAUGCUGUAGUAAUUUAAUGAGUUUAAUGAGUAUUAAAAUAAAUGUCACCUAGAUAAUUAGUCAUUGAAUAAGGGUACUAU